rnacentral:tRNA from 1 species
AAGGAUUUAGGUUAAUAAAACCUUUAACCUUCAAAGUUAAUAAUAGAUUUUUAAAUAUCUAAGCCUUA